GUCUAAGGUUUCCUGGGGAAGGUUCGUCCUCCCAGGGUAAGCCGGGAGCUAAGGCGAGGCCGCAAGGCGUAGUCGAUGCACAUACGGUAGAAAUUCCGUAGCCGGCUCAACUGUUAAGCAUACUGACACAUGAGAGUAGCUCUACCGGGCGUUGGUUGCCCCGGGCGUAAGCGAGCCGAAUGAGGCGAAGUGAGUGAAUCUUGUGGCGAGAAAAGGUGUGUGGAUUGGUUGAGCUGCCCGUACCGCAAACCGACACAGGUAGAUGAGGAGAAGAUCCUAAGGCCAUCGGGAGAAGGGUUGUUAAGGAACUAGGCAAAUUGACCCCGUAACUUCGGGAGAAGGGGUGCCUACGAGAGUAGGCCGCAGAGAAUCGGCCCAAGCAACUGUUUACCAAAAACACAGGUCUCUGCUAAAUCGAAAGAUGACGUAUAGGGGCUGACGCCUGCCCGGUGCUGGAAGGUUAAGAGGAGGACUUAGUGGCAACACGAAGGCCCGAAUUGAAGCCCCAGUAAACGGCGGCCGUAACUAUAACGGUCCUAAGGUAGCGAAAUUCCUUGUCAGGUAAGUUCUGACCCGCACGAAAGGCGUAAUGAUUUGGGCACUGUCUCAACAGCCCGCCCGGCGAAAUUGUAGUACCGGUGAAGAUGCCGGUUACCCGCAACUAGACGGAAAGACCCCAUGAGCUUUACUGCAGCUUAAUACUGAGAUUCGGUAAAUCAUGUACAGGAUAGGUGGGAGACAGAGAAACCAGGCCGUCAGGUUUGGUGGAGUCACCCCUGGGAUACCACCCUUGGUUUGCUGGGUUUCUAACCUGCGGCCCUGAAUCGGGUCGGGGGACACUGUUAGGCGGGCAGUUUGACUGGGGCGGUCGCCUCCUAAAAUGUAACGGAGGCGCUCAAAGGUUGGCUCAGCAUGGAUGGAAACCAUGCAAUGAGUGUAAACGUAUAAGCCAGCCUGACUGCGAGACCGACGGGUCGAGCAGAGACGAAAGUCGGAGCUAGUGAUCCGGUGGUAUGUGAGUGGAAAUGCCAUCGCUCAAUGGAUAAAAGCUACCCUGGGGAUAACAGGCUGAUCUCCCCCAAGCGUCCACAGCGACGGGGAGGUUUGGCACCUCGAUGUCGGCUCGUCGCAUCCUGGGGCUGAAUUAGGUCCCAAGGGUUUGGCUGUUCGCCAAUUAAAGCGGCACGCGAGCUGGGUUCAGAACGUCGUGAGACAGUUCGGCCCCUAUCUGUUGCGGGCGUAGGAGAUUUGAAGGGAGCUGACCUUAGUACGAGAGGACCGGGUUGGACGUACCUCUGGUGUACCAGUUGUUCUGCCAAGGGCAUGGCUGGGUAGCUACGUACGGACGAGAUAAACGCUGAAGGCAUCUAAGCGUGAAACUCUCCCUGAGAUAGGAUCUCCACUGAGGCUCGACGUAGACUAUGUCGUUGAUAGGUCAGAGGUGGAAGCACAGCAAUGUGUGCAGCUGACUGAUACUAAUAAGCCGAAAGCUUGACCG
rnacentral:rRNA from 1 species